rnacentral:rRNA from 1 species
UGGGGAAUAUUGGACAAUGGGCGCAAGCCGGAUCCAGCCAUGCCGCGUGAGUGAUGAAGGCCCAAGGGUUGUAAAGCUCUUUCACCGGGGAAGAUAAUGACGGUAACCGGAGAAGAAGCCCCGGCUAACUUCGUGCCAGCAGCCGCGGUAAUACGAAGGGGGCUAGCGUUGUUCGGAUUUACUGGGCGUAAAGCGCACGUAGGCGGACUUUUAAGUCAGGGGUGAAAUCCCGGGGCUCAACCCCGGAACUGCCUUUGAUACUGGAAGUCUUGAGUAUGGUAGAGGUGAGUUGAAUUCCGAGUGUAGAGGUGAAAUUCGUAGAUAUUCGGAGGAACACCAGUGGCGAAGGCGGCUCACUGGACCAUUACUGACGCUGAGGUGCGAAAGCGUGGGGAGCAAACAGG